GAAAGACUGACACCUAAAAAAGAAAAAAUAAAAAGUGAAAAUGAAAAGAAAAUGAGCAUUAACAACAAGAUUCUACUGACUUCUAUCAAAAUUCAUCCCUGUAUAUCUAUGAAGAAAAUAAAACAAGUUUUUACCACCAGUCCCUCCGGUACUGAUGAGUAUACGUUAUUCCAAAGCAAGUGAUUACUUGGAUAGUGCAGCUAACACAGGGCCACAGUACAAGCAAGUACAGAGCCUUUUCAUCGGUAUAUUUCCAGGUAUUCC